UGUAAAUACGCUCCUUUGUGAGUGUUUUUGAAUUAGGUAUAGAGAAACUGAUUUUGCCGUCAUGAUUUCUCUAUGCUUUUAUUAUACCA
rnacentral:antisense_RNA from 10 species